UGGAGAUGGAGACUUGAGGUUUGAGGAAUCUGCGUUUUAAAGAUUUUGGAGAAGAGAAGUGUUGGGUCAGUUUCCAUUGAAAAUGGAUUGAGGAAUUCGAGUAAAGAUGAUGAGAAUGCAGCUAUGGUGACUCAAAUCUCUGUUUGGAAAAGAAGAAAUGGUAAGUGUUGGUCCCUGUCAAACCGUGGGUUUUGGUGUGGUGAUUGUAAAAUCCUAGUGGUUGUUAUCGAAUGGAAUGAAAAGUUGGUAUGCUGCUUGAAUGGUUAA